rnacentral:rRNA from 1 species
GAAUAUUGGUCAAUGGACGAAAGUCUGAACCAGCCAUGCCGCGUGCAGGAUGACAGCCCUAUGGGUCGUAAACUGCUUUUAUACAGGAAGAAACCCUCGUUCGUGAACGAGGCUGACGGUACUGUAAGAAUAAGGACCGGCUAACUCCGUGCCAGCAGCCGCGGUAAUACGGAGGGUCCAAGCGUUAUCCGGAUUUAUUGGGUUUAAAGGGUACGUAGGCGGAAGAUUAAGUCAGUAGUGAAAGCCUCCCGCUUAACGGGAGAACUGCUAUUGAUACUGGUUUUCUUGAAUAUAGUUGAAGUAGGCGGAAUACGACAUGUAGCGGUGAAAUGCAUAGAUAUGUCGUGGAACACCGAUUGCGAAGGCAGCUUACUAAGCUAUUAUUGACGCUGAUGUACGAAAGCGUGGGGAGCGAACAG